GGGCCCAUAGCUCAGCCUGGUAGAGCAGCGGACUUUUAAUCCGUGUGUCGGGGGUUCAAAUCCCCCUGGGCUCG
rnacentral:tRNA from 1 species